AGUGAACGCUGGCGGUAGGCCUAACACAUGCGAGUCGAACGGCAGCACAGUAAGAGCUUGCUCUUACGGGUGGCGAGUGGCGGACGGGUGAGGAAUACAUCGGAAUCUACUUUUUCGUGGGGGAUAACGUAGGGAAACUUACGCUAAUACCGCAUACGACCUACGGGUGAAAGCAGGGGAUCUUCGGACCUUGCGCGAUUGAAUGAGCCGAUGUCGGAUUAGCUAGUUGGCGGGGUAAAGGCCCACCAAGGCGACGAUCCGUAGCUGGACUGAGAGGAUGAUCAGCCACACUGGAACUGAGACACGGUCCAGACUCCUACGGGAGGCAGCAGUGGGGAAUAUUGGACAAUGGGCGCAAGCCUGAUCCAGCCAUACCGCGUGGGUGAAGAAGGCCUUCGGGUUGUAAAGCCCUUUUGUUGGGAAAGAAAAGCAGCAGGUUAAUACCCCGCUGUUCUGACGGUACCCAAAGAAUAAGCACCGGCUAACUUCGUG
rnacentral:rRNA from 1 species